CGACGACGUCUCCUCCACGCCUCUUCAAUUGUUGGCACGAGCGUGUGCUCGUCCGAUUCCGGUUAUCCUGUGUUGCAUACCUAUCGUGACGGCAUUGAGUCGGCUAUAAACGUUCUUUUUCCGCCUUGUUCUGCCGCUCCACCUGGGGCGACGGCAUCGGGUGGGCCAAAUCGCGCACGUUGUGUGUCGCACCGCGUUCGCCGUCACUGGUGUUCGGGUUGACGACCYGCGACGUUAUGCUCGAUCUCUCGGGUACGGUGCAUGAUGUGGGUACGAGGUCAACGKCCUCCGAGCUCCACAAACAAGCGUUCUACGCUUCGUGCGAACGACUGCCGGUUCGGUAUUUGGCCGUGCUCCCGUGGCUCGGUUCAAGCCGUGCCGACGUCGAUG
rnacentral:misc_RNA from 1 species